UCCAGACUCCUACGGGAGGCAGCAGUGGGGAAUAUUGCACAAUGGGGGAAACCCUGAUGCAGCGACGCCGCGUGAGUGAAGAAGUAUCUCGGUACGUAAAGCUCUAUCAGCAGGGAAGAAAAUGACGGUACCUGACCAAGAAGCCCCGGCUAACUACGUGCCAGCAGCCGCGGUAAUACGUAGGGGGCGAGCGUUAUCCGGAUUCACUGGGUGUAAAGGGAGCGUAGACGGCCAUGCAAGCCAGGAGUGAAAGCCCGGGGCCCAACCCCGGGACUGCUCUUGGAACUGCGUAGCUGGAGUGCAGGAGGGGCAGGCGGAAUUCCUGGUGUAGCGGUGAAAUGCGUAGAUAUCAGGAGGAACACCGGUGGCGAAGGCGGCCUGCUGGGCUGCAACUGACGUUGA
rnacentral:rRNA from 1 species